rnacentral:rRNA from 1 species
AACGAACGCUGGCGGCAGGCCUAACACAUGCAAGUCGAACGUGAAGCCACCUUCGGGUGGUGGAAAGUGGCAGACGGGUGAGUAACGCGUGGGAACGUGCCUUUCGGUUCGGGAUAACCCAGGGAAACUUGGGCUAAUACCGGAUACGCCCUCCGGGGGAAAGAUUCAUUGCCGAAAGAUCGGCCCGCGUCGGAUUAGCUAGUUGGUGGGGUAAAAGCCUACCAAGGCGACGAUCCGUAGCUGGUCUGAGAGGAUGACCAGCCAUACUGGGACUGAGACACGGCCCAGACUCCUACGGGAGGCAGCAGUGGGGAAUAUUGGACAAUGGGCGCAAGCCUGAUCCAGCCAUGCCGCGUGGGUGAAGAAGGCCCUAGGGUUGUAAACCCCUUUCAGCGGGGAAGAUAAUGACGGUACCCGCAGAAGAAGCCCCGGCUAACUCCGUGCCAGCAGCCGCCGUAAUAC